GUGACUCUGUAUUAGAGCAGGGGGAGCUGUGACUCUGUAUUAGAGCAGUGGGAGCUCUGACUCUGUAUUAGAGGAGGGGGAGCUCUGACUCUGUAUUAGAGCAGGGGGAGCUCUGACUCUGUAUUAGAGGAGGGGGAGCUCUCACUCUGUAUUAGAGGAAGUUGACUGAUGACGUCGUUCUGUGACGUCACGCCGGUCCCCUGAGUGCUAAACCCCGGGGCUGCCUUCCCUCUCACAGUCAGUGUAUAGACAGCAGCUCUGGGCUCCACAGAAAUGGCCGCCUACCCAGGGACCCGCUCGGGCUCGGGUGUUUGGAGCUCUAUCGCCCUCACUCUGGGGAAGAGCCAUUUAGAGAUCUAAGCACUGGAGCAAGAAGCCGCCGAGGACGCACUGCCGUAGCGAGCGGAAAGUCUCGCAGAUGCCGCCUCGUUCUGGAGUUCUCAGAGUUACCCGAGUUCAGACAGAAACAGACACCAACUGGCUCCCGUUACUCUCCAUGAGGAAGAGCAGCGGCGGUUUGCUCGUGUGUUUAGCACUCUACAUUACGUCACCCGGCGGGGCCAGGUUCCAGAGUGGGCGGGGCCUGGCGGUUUGACAGGCAGUCCCGCUGACCAAUAGCUGGUGAGAGAGCAGUCUCGUUGGCCAAUGAGAAGUGAGGAGGGGCGGGACCGGCACGUUCUGCUCUGACAUGGCGGCGGCUCCCUGUACCGGGU